rnacentral:rRNA from 1 species
GAUGAACGCUGGCGGCGUGCUUAACACAUGCAAGUCGAACGGAAAGGCCAGUGCUUGCACUGGUACUCGAGUGGCGAACGGGUGAGUAACACGUGGGUGAUCUGCCCUGUACUUCGGGAUAAGAUUGGGAAACUGGGUCUAAUACCGGAUAGGACAACUUUUUGGAUAUUGUUGUGGAAAGCUUUUGCGGUAUGGGAUGAGCUCGCGGCCUAUCAGCUUGUUGGUGGGGUAAUGGCCUACCAAGGCGUCGACGGGUAGCCGGCCUGAGAGGGUGUACGGCCACAUUGGGACUGAGAUACGGCCCAGACGCCUACGGUAGGCAGCAGUGGGGAGUAUUGCACAAUGGGCGCAAGCCUGAUGCAGCGGCGCCGCGUGGGGGAUGAAGGCCUUCGGGUUGUAAACUCCUUUCGCUAGGGACGAAGCGUAAGUGACGGUACCUGAAGAAGAAGCACCGGCUAACUACGUG